GAGGCCUCCGGACUGGCCCAGGGAGGUGGGCAACUACCACCCAGGUGCCGGAAAGUUGUACGAACUCGGUCGUUUAGAGGAAGUAAAAGUCGUAACAAGGUCUCCGUUGGUGAACCAGCGGAGGGAUCAUUA
rnacentral:rRNA from 1 species